CUGGAUCUACCGUGGUUCUGUUGGGUCUCAGCUUGUUGUUCAGAUUUUCUUCAUCAACUCUUUGGAUCAUUUGAACAAACUGUGAAGCUAGAAAGUGUGUGUGAGCUGAUGUGGAUUGAGCAACAUGGAUCAGAGUGAGGACAGAGAGGAGGGAGUCCCUCCCUCUAAAACCACUCUGUGUGGGGAAGAUGAGAGCCAGAGCAAAGGUCAGAGGAUCCAUCAGAGACUCAAAUCAGAACCAGAACCAGAACCCAGCUGUGUCUCCUUUAAGAGCGACAGGUCAAUGGAUCAUU